rnacentral:tRNA from 1 species
GGUCGGUUAGCUCAGUUGGUUAGAGCGUGGUGCUAAUACCUAACGGUUCCUUACUCAGUAAGGGAAAGUUAACGCCAAGGUCGCGGGUUCGACCCCCGUACUGACCA